AUAUUUACCUGGCAGAGGAUAUACCAUUAUCACUAAGGUGCUUUUCCCAGGGGGAGGCUUAUCCAAUUGCACUCCAGAUGUGCUGACCCCUGCGAUUUCCUCAAAUGCGGGAAACUCUGCAUAAUUUCUGGUAGUGGGGGACUGCAUUUGCACUGUCCUCUG
rnacentral:snRNA from 1 species